rnacentral:rRNA from 1 species
UACGGAGGGUGCAAGCGUUAUCCGGAUUCACUGGGUUUAAAGGGUGCGUAGGUGGGUCUGUAAGUCCGUGGUGAAAUCUCCAAGCUUAACUUGGAAACUGCCAUGGAUACUAUAGGUCCUGAAUACCAUGGAGGUGAGCGGAAUAUGUCAUGUAGCGGUGAAAUGCUUAGAUAUGACAUAGAACACCAAUUGCGAAGGCAGCUCACUACACGAAUAUUGACACUGAGGCACGAAAGCGUGGGGAUCAAACAGG